ACGGGAGGCAGCAGUGGGGAAUAUUGGGCAAUGGGCGAAAGCCUGACCCAGCAACGCCGCGUGAAGGGAGAAGAUUUUCGGAUUGUAAACUUCUUUUAUAAGGGACGAAGAAAGUGACGGUACCUUAUGAAUAAGCCACGGCUAACUACGUGCCAGCAGCCGCGGUAAUACGUAGGUGGCGAGCGUUAUCCGGAUUUACUGGGUGUAAAGGGCGCGUAGGCGGGGAUGCAAGUCAGAUGUGAAAUCCAUGGGCUUAACUCAUGAACUGCAUUUGAAACUGUAUCUCUUGAGUGUCGGAGAGGUAGAUGGAAUUCCUAGUGUAGCGGUGAAAUGCGUAGAUAUUAGGAGGAACACCAGUGGCGAAGGCGAUCUACUGGGCGAUAACUGACGCUGAGGCGCGAAAGCGUGGGGAGCAAACAGGAUUAGAUACCCUGGUA
rnacentral:rRNA from 1 species